UACGUAGGGCGCAAGCGUUGUCCGGAAUUAUUGGGCGUAAAGAGCUCGUAGGCGGCUUGUCACGUCGGGGUGUGAAAGCCCCGGGGGCUUAACCCCCGGGUCUGCAUUCGAUACGGGCUAGCUAGAGUGUGGUAGGGGAGAUCGGAAUUCCUGGUGUAGCGGUGAAAUGCGCAGAUAUCAGGAGGAACACCGGUGGCGAAGGCGGGUCUCUGGGCCGUAACUGACGCUGAGGAGCGAAAGCGUGGGGAGCGAACAGG
rnacentral:rRNA from 1 species